rnacentral:misc_RNA from 1 species
GAUGAAGAACGCAGUGAAAUGCGAUAAGUAAUGUGAAUUGCAGAAUUCAGUGAAUCAUCGAAUCUUUGAACGCAUCUUGCGCUCCUUGGUAUUCUGAGGAGCAUGCCUGUUUGAGUGUCAUCAAAUUCUCAACCACUUCUUUUGAUGUGGCUUUGGAUAUGGGGGGAUUUCUUUUUUGCAGGCUUCUGAAAAACAAAGUCGGCUCCCCUGAAAUGUAUUAGUGGUGUCUGAGUAGGAGACUACUAUGGGUGUGAUAAAUCUAUCUAUGCCUUGGUACAACUGCUAUGCCGCUUCUAGCGAGUGCAUUUGACAAAUUUGACCUCAAAUCAGGUAGGACUACCCGCUGAACUUAAGCAUAUCAAUAAGCGGAGGA